CUCAUCCAACAUCUACUGCUCAGAGAGCCAUCAGUUCCUCUACUAAGGAGGGGUAAAAAUGAGCCAGCUCACAGAACUAGUUCUUCUUACAGUCUUCUUGGCACUCUUCGGUCAAGCUGAAGCAA